AGUGAACGCUGGCGGUAGGCCUAACACAUGCAAGUCGAACGGCAGCACAGUAAGAGCUUGCUCUUACGGGUGGCGAGUGGCGGACGGGUGAGGAAUACAUCGGAAUCUACUUUUUCGUGGGGGAUAACGUAGGGAAACUUACGCUAAUACCGCAUACGACCUACGGGUGAAAGCAGGGGAUCUUCGGACCUUGCGCGAUUGAAUGAGCCGAUGUCGGAUUAGCUAGUUGGCGGGGUAAAGGCCCACCAAGGCGACGAUCUGUAGCUGGUCUGAGAGGAUGAUCAGCCACACUGGAACUGAGACACGGUCCAGACUCCUACGGGAGGCAGCAGUGGGGAAUAUUGGACAAAGGGCGCAAGCCUGAUCCAGCCAUACCGCGUGGGUGAAGAAGGCCUUCGGGUUGUAAAGCCCUUUUGUUGGGAAAGAAAAGCAGCAGGUUAAUACCCCGCUGUUCUGACGGUACCCAAAGAAUAAGCACCGGCUAACUUCGUG
rnacentral:rRNA from 1 species